rnacentral:rRNA from 1 species
UACAGAGGUCCCAAGCGUUGUUCGGAUUCACUGGGCGUAAAGGGUGCGUAGGCGGUCGGGUAAGUCUGAUGUGAAAUCUCACAGCUUAACUGUGAAACUGCAUUGGAUACUAUUCGGCUUGAGAGUUGGAGGGGGGACUGGAAUUCUCGGUGUAGCAGUGAAAUGCGUAGAUAUCGAGAGGAACACCAGUGGCGAAGGCGAGUCCCUGGACAACUUCUGACGCUGAGGUGCGAAAGCGUGGGGAGCAAACAGG